UACGUAGGGUGCGAGCAUUGUCCGGAAUUAUUGGGCGUAAAGAGCUUGUAGGCGGUUUGUCGCGUCUGCUGUGAAAUCCCAGGGCUUAACCCUGGGCUUGCAGUGGGUACGGGCAGACUGGAGUGCGGUAGGGGAGAAUGGAAUUCCUGGUGUAGCGGUGGAAUGCGCAGAUAUCAGGAGGAACACCGGUGGCGAAGGCGGGUCUCUGGGCCGUAACUGACGCUGAGGAGCGAAAGCAUGGGGAGCGAACAGG
rnacentral:rRNA from 1 species